GACGAACGCUGGCGGCGUGCCUAAUACAUGCAAGUUGAGCGAUGAAGAUUGGUGCUUGCCCCAAUUUGAAGAGCAGCGAACGGGUGAGUAACGCGUGGGGAAUCUGCCUUUGAGCGGGGGACAACAUCUGGAAACGAAUGCUAAUACCGCAUAACAACUUUAAACAUAAGUUUUAAGUUUGAAAGAUGCAAUUGCAUCACUCAAAGAUGAUCCCGCGUUGUAUUAGCUAGUUGGUGAGGUAAAGGCUCACCAAGGCGAUGAUACAUAGCCGACCUGAGAGGGUGAUCGGCCACAUUGGGACUGAGACACGGCCCAAACUCCUACGGGAGGCAGCAGGAGGGAAUCUUCGGCAAUGGACGAAAGUCUGACCGAGCAACGCCGCGUGAGUGAAGAAGGGUUUCGGAUCGUAAAACUCUGUUGGUAGAGAAGAACGUUGGUGAGAGUGGAAAGCUCAUCAAGUGACGGUAACUACCCAGAAAGGGACGGCUAACUACGUG
rnacentral:rRNA from 1 species